GGUAGCACAGAGAGCUUGCUCUCGGGUGACGAGCGGCGGACGGGUGAGUAAUGUCUGGGAAACUGCCUGAUGGAGGGGGAUAACUACUGGAAACGGUAGCUAAUACCGCAUAACGUCGCAAGACCAAAGUGGGGGACCUUCGGGCCUCAUGCCAUCAGAUGUGCCCAGAUGGGAUUAGCUAGUAGGUGGGGUAACGGCUCACCUAGGCGACGAUCCCUAGCUGGUCUGAGAGGAUGACCAGCCACACUGGAACUGAGACACGGUCCAGACUCCUACGGGAGGCAGCAGUGGGGAAUAUUGCACAAUGGGCGCAAGCCUGAUGCAGCCAUGCCGCGUGUAUGAAGAAGGCCUUCGGGUUGUAAAGUACUUUCAGCGGGGAGGAAGGCGAUAAGGUUAAUAACCUUGUCGAUUGACGUUACCCGCAGAAGAAGCACCGGCUAACUCCGUGCCAGCAGCCGCGGUAAUACGGAGGGUGCAAGCGUUAAUCGGAAUUACUGGGCGUAAAGCGCACGCAGGCGGUCUGUCAAGUCGGAUGUGAAAUCCCCGGGCUCAACCUGGGAACUGCAUUCGAAACUGGCAGGCUAGAGUCUUGUAGAGGGGGGUAGAAUUCCAGGUGUAGCGGUGAAAUGCGUAGAGAUCUGGAGGAAUACCGGUGGCGAAGGCGGCCCCCUGGACAAAGACUGACGCUCAGGUGCGAAAGCGUGGGGAGCAAACAGGAUUAGAUACCCUGGUAGUCCACGCCGUAAACGAUGUCGAUUUGGAGGUUGUGCCCUUGAGGCGUGGCUUCCGGAGCUAACGCGUUAAAUCGACCGCCUGGGGAGUACGGCCGCAAGGUUAAAACUCAAAUGAAUUGACGGGGGCCCGCACAAGCGGUGGAGCAUGUGGUUUAAUUCGAUGCAACGCGAAGAACCUUACCUGGUCUUGACAUCCACAGAACUUGCCAGAGAUGGCUUGGUGCCUUCGGGAACUGUGAGACAGGUGCUGCAUGGCUGUCGUCAGCUCGUGUUGUGAAAUGUUGGGUUAAGUCCCGCAACGAGCG
rnacentral:rRNA from 1 species